rnacentral:rRNA from 1 species
AGUGAACGCUGGCGGUAGGCCUAACACAUGCAAGUCGAACGGCAGCACAGGAGAGCUUGCUUUCUGGGUGGCGAGUGGCGGACGGGUGAGGAAUACAUCGGAAUCUACUUUUUCGUGGGGGAUAACGUAGGGAAACUUACGCUAAUACCGCAUACGACCUACGGGUGAAAGCAGGGGACCUUCGGGCCUUGCGCGAUUGAAUGAGCCGAUGUCGGAUUAGCUAGUUGGCGGGGUAAAGGCCCACCAAGGCGACGAUCCGUAGCUGGUCUGAGAGGGUGAUCAGCCACACUGGAACUGAGACACGGUCCAGACUCCUACGGGAGGCAGCAGUGGGGAAUAUUGGACAAUGGGCGCAAGCCUGAUCCAGCCAUACCGCGUGGGUGAAGAAGGCCUUCGGGUUGUAAAGCCCUUUUGUUGGGAAAGAAAUCCAGCUGGCUAAUACCCGGUUGGGAUGACGGUACCCAAAGAAUAAGCACCGGCUAACUUCGUGCCAGCCGCCGCGGUAA